GACGAACCGUGCGAACGUUGUUCGGAAUCACUGGGCUUAAAGGGCGCGUAGGCGGGUGACCAAGUCAGGGGUGAAAUCUUUCGGCCCAACCGGAAAAGUGCCUCUGAUACUGGUCGUCUUGAGGGAGGUAGGGGUCGAGGGAACUGGUGGUGGGGCGGUGAAAUGCGUAGAUAUCACUAGGAACGCCGGUGGCGAAAGCGCUCGACUGGACCUCUUCUGACGCUGAGGCGCGAAAGCCAGGGGAGCAAACGGG
rnacentral:rRNA from 1 species